UACGUAGGGUGCGAGCGUUGUCCGGAAUUAUUGGGCGUAAAGGGCUCGUAGGCGGUUUGUCGCGUCGGGAGUGAAAACCAGGUGCUUAACACCUGGCUUGCUUUCGAUACGGGCAGACUAGAGGCAUGCAGGGGAGGAACGGAAUUCCUGGUGUAGCGGUGAAAUGACGCAGAUAUCAGGAGGAACACCGGUGGCGAAGGCGGCUCUCUGGGCCUUACCUGACGCUGAGGAGCGAAAGCGUGGGGAGCGAACAGG
rnacentral:rRNA from 1 species